rnacentral:lncRNA from 10 species
UCAGGGCAAAUGUUCCUGGGGAGGUGACACUUGAAUCCCAUCUAAAGGAGCAGUUGGAAUUAGGAGAAGGGAAACUGUGGGUAAAAGCAUGGAGGCCUGCUGUGAGCUGCAGGUUGGGUUGGUGGACCAAAGGGUACCUGUGGUUCGUUACCUGUAAGACAGGUGGAUGGACAGGUGAGCAGGAAGACCCAAGAGUUGAGGAAGUCUACUGAAGGUGAUGGACUCACAGUGGAAGCUUUGAGCAGACGAGCACUACUAGAUGUGUGCUGUAGAAAGACUUCUCUGGUAAAGAGUGAAUGCAGGGCAUAGGAAUACAGCGUGGGAAGCUAUCGCAGCAACCCUGGGGAAAUGACACUGGCUAAACUGAGGCAAUGGCUGUGGGAAUGAAGAGGGGAGUCCAGAAAUGCCUGGAAGGUGGGUUAGAUGAGACAUGGUGAUCAACUGUACAUAAGGUAAACGGAGGGAAAUUCCUGGCUUGAGUGACCAGAUGGAUGGUAGCGUAGUUCACCACAGGAGGAAAUGCUGGGGCAGGAGCAGCUUGGGUAAAGCUGAUACUGAGUUCAUGUUGAGCCCCAAAGGCCUAUGAGGAGCUAGCUGGCCAACACGCAGUUGGAUACAAGGUCUCAACAGAUUGGUCUAGGCCAGAGACAGAGAGCUGGGAGGUGAUAACAGAAGCCACGUUUGAAGAUGAAUAUGCCCCAAGAGUGGCAGAGCAGGAAGGGAGAAAGGAAGGAACCCUGGAGGUUAUUCUGUGCAAGCAGAGGAAGAAAACUCAGUGAAGGAGACCAAGGGAAGCAUCCAGGGGAGUAGGAGAGAAUAUGGAAAAAAUUGUCACACAGGUUCCCAUAGAAGAAAUGGUUUCCAGAAUGCAGAAGUGGUCCAUGAUGCCAGAUGUUGCAGAAAGAGCAAAUAAGGGGAUAGAACAGAAAGACAUAAGCACCGGCAUGGGCCUAUUCCACAGCCAAGGCAGGCAAUGAGCUCUCAGGUACUUGCAACAAACUCGAGUGUGCAUUCGGUCCAGGAGGAAGAGCCCGCACCCUUUUUUGUUGCUGUUCAGUGUUAAUCCUUCGGUGGAACCCACCAGGACAGCAGUCUCAGUGCUGUUGUUUUUGACAGGGAGAACAUCCCAGGGCAGAAAGGAAAGCCUAAAGCUACAGCCUGUUCCUCUAGUUCUUAGAACAGCUGGUUACUGAGCUCUCAGGC